rnacentral:rRNA from 1 species
GAUGAACGCUAGCGGCAGGCUUAAUACAUGCAAGUCGAACGGGAUUCGGUGUAGCAAUACAUUGAUGAGAGUGGCGCACGGGUGCGUAACGCGUAUGCAACCUACCUUUAACAGGUGAAUAGCCCCGAGAAAUCGGGAUUAAUACACCGUAACAUUGCGGGAUGGCAUCAUUCUGCAAUUAAAGAUUUAUCGGUUAAAGAUGGGCAUGCGUGACAUUAGCUAGUUGGUGAGGUAACGGCUCACCAAGGCGACGAUGUCUAGGGGUCCUGAGAGGGUUAUCCCCCANACUGGUACUGAGACACGGACCAGACUCCUAGGGAGCAGCA